GGAAAAUCACUCAGGCCCUCUGGGUUUGAAUUGCACUGUCUGUGCAACACUUCAUAGAGCAUUGGCCUCAAAGUUCUUUUCUAGCUGUAACAGCCUGCGAGUCUGUGAAACCAAUUGCUAACUGCACAGCAGACUGACUCCUAGAGAAUGUGCACAGCCCAGCAGCUCAGACCAUUACUACGGAAAGAAAGAAAAACAUCAUGGCUGCUGCUUCCUGCUCCUGAUAGGAGAAGUUCUUACGAAAAGCAAGAGUUGACAGCAUGGAGCAGUCCCUGUGUGUGUCAGCUGCUCAGCAGUGGCCACCAGAAGAAAAUUGUCAGGGACCCUCCAAAGAAAGAUGAGAAGGUAUCGUGGGCGAAAACAGCAGAGAUAGAUAGGAGCUGCAUCAUCUUCAUCCCGAUCUGAAAUGGAAUCAAAUCAUCCUCGGAGAUCUCAAUCUGCCCACCCUUAGGGAAAUGAGUGAGAAUGGCCAGGAACCUAUCCUCAGGGAGGCUCUGGCCUCUUCAUUCCUCCAUGGCACCAUGUCUACUGUGUGCCAGGCAUGUGCUGGGAUUGGAAACAUGAAGCAGACAUGGCCCACCUUUCAAGGAGCUCGCAGCUUAGUAGGAAAAGAGCCAGAGUGGAGUUGCAUUUCAGACAGCAGUUAGGUAGAUUCUCAAGUCAACAUUAAGGAGAAAAUCAAGUCUAACCAAAA
rnacentral:lncRNA from 1 species